UAAUUCAAAAAUGCCCCAAAAUUGAUCUA
rnacentral:piRNA from 1 species